CUACGGGUGGCAGCAGUGAGGAAUAUUGCACAAUGGGGGAAACCCUGAUGCAGCCAUGCCGCGUGAGUGAAGAAGGCCCUAGGGUUGUAAAACUCUUUCAGCGGGGAAGAUAAUGACGGUACCCGCAGAAGAAGCUCCGGCUAACUCCGUGCCAGCAGCCGCGGUAAUACGGAGGGAGCUAGCGUUAUUCGGAAUUACUGGGCGUAAAGCGCACGUAGGCGGUCUAUAAAGCCAGAGGUGAAAGCUCGGGGCUCAACCCCGGAACUGCCUUUGGAACUCAUAGACUAGAAUUCGGUAGAGGUUGGUGGAAUUCCUAGUGUAGAGGUGAAAUUCGUAGAUAUUAGGAGGAACACCAGUGGCGAAGGCGACCAACUGGGCCGAUAUUGACGCUAAUGUGCGAAAGCGUGGGGAGCGAACAGGAUUAGAUACCCUUGUAGUC
rnacentral:rRNA from 1 species